CCCAAGAACACCUCAGUAUCAGUGAGACCAUCUGGUGAAAUAGUGGAGGGCAGUUCAGUGACUCUGACCUGCAGCAGUGAUGCCAACCCACCUGUGCAGAACUACACCUGGUAUAAGAAGAAUGACACUGCUGGAGUCUGGCAGGCAGGAUCUGGACAGAGUUUGAACUUUUCUAACUUUAGAUCCUGGAACAGAGGACAGUACUACUGUGAGGCACAGAACAGACUUGGAGCUCAGAAUUCUACUGCUGUGUCAAUCAACACAGAAGUAGGGGAUAGGACAGUGCUUGUGUGGACGGUUGUUGGAAUCACAGUGGCUGUUGCACUCGUUGCUGCUGUUGCGUGUAUGAGAUGGAAGAAGAAAAGUGCACGGAGAGAGAGAGUAGCAGACACACAGGCACUGUAAAAAACGAUUUCCCACCUGGAUAUUCCUGGACCUGGACACCUGGAUCAUGACAACCAUAUCAGCCUUGCGGGAUAAGCAAAGGACAGUUUUCUGUACAUGCUGUAUUUUUUAUGAAACUACAAAGUCAGUAGAUCUGUGCUGAACAGAAGACACAAAGCACAGAUACACACAAUGCAAGUUACAGUCAAUUAGUGUGGACUUCCUGCUAAGUUUAACUCAAUUUCAGUCUUGCUCCAUAUUUUAAUUGGUUAAAAAUAUUGCAGAACAUUCCCCAAUUAACUGCCAUUAGAUUGUACUUGUGUCUGUGGAAAUUUUUUCAUUUCAUUUUGCAAUCCACAAUAUGUUAAAAUAUAAUUCUGUAAUGUAAAUUCUUCAAUUGAUUCUGUGAUUGGGAUGGCAGGUAUGCCAUCCCGCCAAGUUACGCCUUGGCGGGGGCAUGCCCCAUACCUAUACAGCACUGAGAGUUUGGCACUUUUCAGGGUUCUCCACAGAAAUAACCACAACAGCCACAUACACUCAGCCCUUAAAAACAUUAAAUUCUGUACAUUCUCACCCCAUUUCAACAAACAGAAUUAAUAAACAACUUCACAUAAUAAAGCCCCAAAGUAACGGGAUUUUGCGUUUUCUCCUUCUUCUUCUUCUUCUUCUUCUCAUUCUUCUUCUUAUUUUUCCUGCCGCCUAUCCCACUAACAACAUGUCUCCCCAUUGGAGACUUUACCGACACCAGAAACUUGCAUACACACGCAAAAUACCCAUACCUUUUUAUUCUGAAACAUUUCCACUUUAAACAGCUAGCCUGCCUGUGGCCUAGUGGGCAAGGUUACAGCCUGGGAAUCAUUGGGUCCCAGGUUCAAGCCCAGCUAAGAACACAUUUCUGUAAUCUGCUUUCACCCUCACUAAUAAUUGUCUACUACUUCUCAAUUAUUGCUUUUGCACCAUAUCUACCCACCGUUCACCGAACGUAUACACUGCAUUAUGACGUACCGUCUGCACAUUCAGUUAUUAACCGGCCACAAUAUUGCUAAGCCAUAUGGGUUCAACGGGAGCUCUUCUGUGCUUACUGGCCUGUGUUCUUCUUUAAAACCACGGACAGGUUUGCUAAUGAUAUUUCACGCAUUGCAUAGCUAUGUCAUGGUGCUGCCCCUAACAAAGUGACAGACUGGUAAACCUCCGGUUUGAAAGAAUUGAGGAAAUAUUGGGUAGCAUUGCUUUGGAAUACAUCUUAUUUAAUUUUGGUGAGGCAAGAUAGCCUAUAUUGUUUCUAGUACCGUAACUUGGCGUCAUUUCGAUAUCAAUACUUUUAAUGGCAGGCGUGGAUUUUGGCAGUGUGAAUGAAUGAGUUAUAGACGGUGUAUGUCUUCUAUGUGUGAGUAACUUGGCAUUUUUAUACUUUGAAAACGUGUUUUUUAUGAGAUAUUAUUACUUACUUAGGCCUCAUCACGCCAAGUGGUGCAUAAGGCCUCCACAAGGCCCCUCCAUCUCUUCCGGUCCUGGGCCAAAUGAUUCUGGGACGUAUAGUCCACUAAGUCAACAGACUGUGGCCACUCAAAUGUAGGGAAUGUGGUUAGAUGGCCAGAUGAGGAGACACGAUUUGACCCAGGGUACUUUAACGGCCAUUACCUUUGGAAAAGUGCCGUGGGAACUUCACCGACAGCGAAUCAGGAUCUUGUUUUCACAAUGCACCUGAAGAGCAACAUGUUCACGGUGCCCCAUCACAAUGAUGUCACGUCGAAUUUUAUUUGAUCUGAACAGAAGACUGCCCCCUACUGGCCCUCCAACACCCCUUCAGCUGCAGCCAGUUUUCCUCAAAGGAGGCUGCUGCGUCUGCUGGUGUGUCAUGUGCUCCUGCACUGAAUAUAAGUCACCGAUGGUCUACGGAGUCUGCACGCCUUGUUUCCAAGGCCUAAAUGAGCUGCUGAGUGAAAUCACAAAAACCAGCAGAGUCUGUGGUCGUACAGGGUUAGAGUUUGAGGCCCCUAGCCCCCAAGACAUCUUUUAAAACGUGCUUCAGGGGGAUUUUUCUUUUUUGAUGUGAAAUUGAUUAGUCUUCUGACAAUACCAUCAAAUAUUACAACAUUUACAACAUACAAAUUCUUCAGAUAUCUGUUUCUCAAAAUCUGCCUGAAUGUUGCAUUUUGUGAGGGUGUCACUGGGACAUUCUCUCUCAAUCUAAAAGCUAUGCAGAGCUGAAGUAAAAACGCGAGUUUCCAGAUCUCUAUACAGAACUGCAGUCUGUUUCUGCUAGAUUCUCCAUCUUAUAAAGAGCUGCUGGUGGAGGAAUUUUCCCAGAGUACUGUAACCCUGCUGCAACAUGCAUGUUCAUGUAACCCUGCUGCAACAUGCAUGUUCAUGUAACCCUGCUGCAUACAUGCAUGUUCAUGUAACCCUGCUGCAUACAUGCUCCUGUGACACAGUUACACGUUUGUAUAACCCUGUUACACACACGCUCAUAACUCAUGUACAUGCGCAUGUAUUCUCUCACAUUGAAUGGGAAGAUUAUAAUGCAGAUUAAUGCAGAUUGUAAUCUCCAAACUCACGUCACUUUUAAAAGCAAGGUCCAAAAUCUUUUAAAACAGUGUUUUAGAUUUACAUUUUACAUUGCCUUGUUGUAAUAACCCCAUUUUUAGUUUCUGUCUGUUUAGCAAUUUGAAAUAAUGCAUCUUUGUAUUUGUUUUCUUUACAUACAUUGUUUUAUUAUGUCAAUCAAUAAAUUAUGAUUUAUUUGAGCAUUGUAAAGCACUGUGAACCUUGAACCUCUGUUUUGAUAAAGAUUAUCAUUAUUUUCUUUAUACGGCCAUCAUAUUUUGCCUGCAAACCCCCCCCCCCAAAAAUAAAAUAAAAUAAAAUAAAAUAAAUAAAUAUAAUAAAAUGAAUAAAUAAAAUAAUAUUCAUAUGAAUUCCAUUUUAUUCACGUGUGGGCAUCUAUUUCAUUUCUGUGAAAUGUGAAAGAUACAAUAAUCCAAUCGGCUGUAUGUAGUAAAAAUCAUCUUCAUGGAGUAUAAGCAUUGAAAUGCAACUAAUUAAGUGCUUGCAGGACCGUAUAACAGGCAAAGCAAAACCAAAGUUCUAAAAGGUCACAUGAACAUCAACCACAGAAACAGUGCCGCUCCACCCCAACUGAACUGAGAUGUGAAAUGAAAUAAAGAAUAGAACAGGCUGCAGGAAGUGAGUGGCAUUUUAACUUCCUCCACUGUCUGUGGUCAGGGUGGCUCUGGUCUGAAAUUAGGCAGCUUCAGCCACAGCCGCGGCACCAGAGCCGGGAUACUUUCACAAAGAUAACUACACCUGUCCGCUUUUUACAUCUUCUGCGAAAGUAAGUGCAAUCUUAAUGUUGAUCUGGGGGUUAUAGGCUAGGCUACAGCAGCCCUGUUUUAUUCUUAAUGGCUGUUAACACAUUUUUUCAUUGAGUUGUAAAAUAAUGUAUAUGAUUCAAUAGAGUGCCUUGAUAGAAGUUGAGAGAAGAAAAAAAAAAUCUUUGAUUUUUGCACGCUUACAUUUAUUGUAUUUUUUUAAACAGUGGAGAAAUUUAAGUACAGUGUUGUUGUUCUCUGAUCUACGGAUUACAGUUAGUGCUUUAUUCUGUGCUAAUCUAGUGAUCCUAAUGGAGAUCAGUCUCUCUCACUGCUGAAAGGUGGCUAUGUGACCAGUGGGGAAAUCAUGCACAGCAUUCGUUAAAACAGUAAAUUAGCUUUCUUAAAAUUAAAAUAAUGUAAAAAAAAAUAAAAAAUAAAAUAUAUAUAUAUAUAUAUAUAUCAUUGCAUACUGACAGUAACUCUUUCUUUUAUUACUUUCCAUGUUAUCUGUUAAACGCUGAAUAUCAAUGAUUUUUUUGUGGAAUUUUGGUUAUGGCUUAAAAAACAAAAGGCAAUAAUAUAAGUUAUGUUUCUUAUAUGUAUGUUCAGGCCGAUGCAGCCAUGCCCGAAACAUCCUCAACAGUAUUUUUGUAAGCCCUUCUCUCUGCCUCAGGUAAACAAUUUAGUUCAACUUCAGUUCUGCUUAUUAAUGCCAGUUUACAGAGGUUACAAUAUCUAUCAGAAGCUAAAAUCUAUUUAGAAUUACUAUGAUUUGAUGUAACCUGUUUAACUCAUUAGAUUGGGAAAGCAAAAAAUUAAAGACAUAUGUUACAGGAAAUGGGAAUCUAAAUCUUACAUACAAGAUCACAUACGUUGUUUAGAUGCCCUACUGGGGGAAAUCUUAAACUGAUUUAAGCUACACUUGUAUGUUGUCUAAUCUGUGUUUCUCAUUUGUCCGGUUAUGUAUUGUGUAUGCACUGACGCUUUUACACAAAUGAAGUUCCUAACGGAUAAAGUUAUUUUGAAUUUGAAUUUGGUUUAGAGAUUCUAGGCUGAGCAGAAUCUUUUUACAUUUAUUUUUACCACACAUCUGCUGUGAAAUGUAGAACAAAUGAUUGAUCUUAAGUUCCUCUUUAUGCUCAGCUCUACAACAGAGAUGAGUAGAUUUCUUUGGCUUCAUGACAUGGGCAGAACUGUAAAUGAACUGCAUUUACUGGUGUGCUCUAUUCCUGAGGAAUAUUAUAGAUUUUUCCAUCAUUUAAACUUUUGUGAAACUAAAUUGUAUACUUGAAAA